rnacentral:misc_RNA from 1 species
GUAUUUAAUCAAAUUUGCAUUCUAAUAGACUUCAUAAUACAGUGGUUUGUGUGAUAUCAAGGGGCGAACCCCUCGAAGUGAUGCACGGUGGUUGGACUAGUUGAACAAAGGGGCCGAGCACAGUGCCUUGCGGCCAGCAUCUAAUGCCCCCUCGGUAACUCGAUAAUGAUCCUUCCGCAGGUUCACCUACGGAAA